CCCAUGUAAGUGUGGGCGGGGCUCUUUAGCCUGUUCACCAUGACCUGCCUGGUGGUUCAGUUAGCCCUACACUGUCAUGUGUCCUAGGAUAUAAGGCAUGAAGGAAAUAUGAAAAUAUUUCCAGGACGCUUAGUUAUCUUUAACUCAGUGAAUGUCUGAAAAGCGCUGGAACUCCAGUAAUGCAGUGCUCCUGUGAGCUGGAUGUGGGAAGGAAUAUUUUCAGUGUAGUGUAUUGACAUUUCUUCACAGUCCAAAAGAAUUGCCUUGAGAUGCAUCUUUCAUAAGAUUAAACAAAUUAAAAGGUUGAUCCCAAGUAAAGAAAUGUAUUAAGCUCCUUACUUUCAUCCAUCCUGAAUCAUUUUAAUAUAUGUAUAUUUGCAUGUGAACGCUGCUGAAUUGUCGUUCCGAUAGAAUUGUUGAUAUAAAUAAUGCCAAUCACUGUCUAACUUCUACUUUAUUUGUAGCUAGAGAAGCCUCACUGGAGAAACACAAAUUCCUAUUUAAUUGCCAUAGCAUUUUACGACAGAGAUGAAUCCAUUAAUGAAUCAUUCAUUGCUGUGAACUGAUAGGAUUUCUGAAAUGUCGUAUAAUCUGAAAUUGCCAUCUUGAAAAACAAAAGA